CCCCCCCCCCCCCCUUUUAGCAGUGGAAAUAUACUGGUUUUGCAAAAGUUUAUUUUGCAAAAUAGAAAUGGUCCUCAAACCUAUAAUAAAGUAACCCCUUUAAUGUUUCAGAAAUUUACAGAGCAUUAGCCUAAGGGAGGCUAAAAGAAGAUGCGCUGUUGUUUUUGCUUCUCUUCACUUUCUUUUACAGGUCUGGUGACUACAUUCUUCUGGGUCAUGUGUUCAGGAAAGAUGGACUAUACAGAGACGUGCAGCAUGGAAAAUAUUCUAACCAGGAAUAGUUAUGUUGACAGGCUUCACACGUGAUGCACAUUUGUAUAUUCCUCACAUGUAUUUUAUUAAUAGCAUGAGACAGAGACAGGGAGAGCGAGUUAUUUCUCUUUCCUCAAAUAAAACACCAAAAACCAAAUUCUUUCUUCUUUAUCACAUUCAACCUGUACACAGCUGAUUACUCUAUCUUCCUAGAAAUAGCACACAAUACCGUUAGGAAACCAAUGUAGUGCAGAGCAAAUGAACAUCAGUGAGAAUGGCUUCUAGGCUUGUCUGAUUGUGUCUGAUUGUCACAAGAAAGGAGUGAGGCCAGCAGGACAAAGGACAUAGAAUCCAGCAUUUGAUUAAAAAAUAAACAGGGAAGACAUGAAUAGAGGUAAUUAUCUCAGAGGCCUUUUUCAGGAUCCUUCCCAAAUGCAAACGGAGCAAAAAAGGGUCCCCAAGUUCGUUUUGGUACUGUGGGCCAGUGCACGCUUUACAGCUCUCCUCAGACCUACAUGCUUGCAUGGUCCUACCAGCAGAGGGAAUGAAAACAAGUCUCCACCCAGACCAACAACCUUCUCCCUGUGGCAGUCAUUAAGGGCAUGCUUAAGGGAGCUGGUGAAUCAGUCAUAGACUGGCAAAGGAUCCACAAACAACUUAAUAUGGUGGAGGUGACAUAUUCACCCCCAGGAUGAGAACAAAGCAAUGCUCCAGGAUUCUCACCCGGACAGCACCCCCCAGCUUGCAGAAUGUGUUUUCAUAGGAAUUUUCCUAGCCUGUUUUUGGCAGAGAAUUAAGUCGAAAGAAUUGUAUAGGGUUGUUUUUUUUAAUGUAGCACAAAAGCUAAUUAACUAAAGUAAAGUACACCUUGUGUA